GAUGAACGCUGGCGGCGUGCCUAAUACAUGCAAGUCGAGCGAACGGACGAGAAGCUUGCUUCUCUGAUGUUAGCUGCGGACGGGUGAUUAACACGUGGAUAACCUACCUAUAAGACUGGGAUAACUUCGGGAAACCGGAGCUAAUACCUGAUAAUAUUUUGAACCGCAUGGUUCAAAAGUGAAAGACGGUCUUGCUGUCACUUAUAGAUGGAUCCGCGCUGCAUUAGCUAGUUGGUAAGGUAACGGCUUACCAAGGCAACGAUGCAUAGCCGACCUGAGAGGGUGAUCGGCCACACUGGAAGUGAGACACGGUCCAGACGCCUACGGGAGGCAGCAGUAGGGAAUCUUGCGCAAUAGGCGAAAGCCUGACGGAGCAACGCCGAGUGAGUGAUGAAGGUCCUCGGAUCGUAAAACUCUGUUAUUAGGGAAGAACAUAUGUGUAAGUAACUGUGCACAUCUUGACGGUACCUAAUCAGAAAGCCACGGCUAACUACGUG
rnacentral:rRNA from 1 species